rnacentral:rRNA from 1 species
AUUGAACGCUGGCGGCAGGCUUAACACAUGCAAGUCGAGCGGGGGAAGGUAGCUUGCUACCGGACCUAGCAGCGGACGGGUGAGUAAUGCUUAGGAAUCUGCCUAUUAGUGGGGGACACCAUCUCGAAAGGGAUGCUAAUACCGCAUACGUCCUACGGGAGAAAGCAGGGGAUCUUCGGACCUUGCGCUAACAGAUGAGCCUAAGUCGGAUUAGCUAGUUGGUGGGGUAAAGGCCUACCAAGGCGACGAUCUGUAGCGGGUCUGAGAGGAUGAUCCGCCACACUGGGACUGAGACACGGCCCAGACUCCUACGGGAGGCAGCAGUGGGGAAUAUUGGACAAUGGGGGGAACCCUGAUCCAGCCAUGCCGCGUGUGUGAAGAAGGCCUUAUGGUUGUAAAGCACUUUAAGCGAGGAGGAGGCUACUUUAGUUAAUACCUAGAGAUAGUGGACGUUACUCGCAGAAUAAGCACCGGCUAACUCUGUGCCAGCCGCCGCAGUAA